CAUCAUUCAAAAUAUUUGGGUCAUCAAGACACUCGGGACCUGCUUUUUAUAGAUUAAAAUAGAAGUUAUUUUGAUGUUAAAUCAUACGGAACUCCAUCAUCAUAACAAAGAAAAAACUGUCUUUCAAAAUUUUGGUGUCAAAGAGGUUCUUGGGACAUAGCAAGAUUGCUCAAUUAAGGUUGUUUUUUCUCAAGCAAAGAGAUUUUAUGUUUUCUAAUAGUU
rnacentral:lncRNA from 1 species